GGGGGUGGUAGCUCGGUGGCAGAGCAUCUGCUUUGCAUGCAGGAGGUUCCAGGUUCGAUCCCCGGCAUCUCCU
rnacentral:tRNA from 1 species